UUCAUGAAAGGGUUGAAGAUGCCCCUGGAUUUCUUAGUCGAACGCUGCAUAUGAAUUGCUUCCCAGAGAGUGAGGGUGAUCUCUGCCACUUUAGCUGAGAGCUUGAGAGAGUCCCACGAUGCCUUUGAAGGCGAGGAUGUUCUCUACAAUUGUCUCUGUAAGAGCCCCAGCGCUUCUCUACAAAUGUAAGCCUCCUUUCCAUUCUCUUUUUGGGUCUGUCAGAACCCAGUGUCGCUCUUCUUUUGCUGUCAAUCAUUCUCACAUUGACGCCACUAAUUUUGAGGAAUUGGUAGACAUUCGUUAUAAAUCUGGUUGUCUUAGGUUAGAUGAAGCAUUGGGUUACUUCAAUUCCAUGAUUCAAAUGAAACCCAUCCCCUCCAUCAGGGCUUUUAAUGGUUUGUUGGGGGUACUCUCCAAGAUGAAGCAUUACUCCACUGUUGUUUCUAUGUGUAAGCAGCUGAUGAGUACUGCUCACUUCCAACCUGAUGUUUGUACAAUAAGUAUUAUCAUUAAUUGCUUGUGCCGUCUGAAUCGGGUGGACUUGGGUUUCUCUGCUUUAGGAAUUGCUCUUAAACAUGGUUUUCAACUUGGUGGUUAUUCUCUGAAUCCUUUGCUUCACGGGCUUUGCAAGAAUAGCUGUCUUGCUGAAGCAGUGAAGCUGGUCCAGAAAAUGGAAGAUAAGGGAUACACAUGUGAUGUAUUCACUUAUGGUAUCGUAAUUAAUGGGUUAUGCAAAGCUGGGAAGACUACUAAUGCAAUCAAGAUACUUGAGCAGAUGUAUGGUAAUGGAAGGUUUAAGCCGAAUUCGGAUUGCUACAAUCCAAUCAUUGACAGCCUUUGUAAAGAAAGAAAUAUCAAGCAGGCCUUGACCCUAUUUGAAGAUAUGAUCAGCAGAAGUGUAGUACCGGAUGCCUACACUUAUAAUUCAUUAAUUCGUGGAUUAUGCAAUAUGGGUGAUUGGGAUAAAGUUCUCGAUCUGUUCGAAACAAUGAAGGAUCAAGGAAUUGCCCCCGAUGUUGUCACCUUCAACACCCUAAUAUACGGACUUUGCCAAUCAGGGAAGUGGGAAAAGGCCCAAAGAUUCUUGUCUUGCAUGGUUGAGAGUGGAAUUUCACCAGAUGUGUAUACCUACAAUGCCCUAAUCAGCAGUCAUUGCAAGUCUGGUCAAUGGGAAAAGGCUGUACAGUUAUUUAAAAGUAUGAUUGAAUGUGGAAUCUUGCCCAAUAUUGUUACAUUCAAUGCUGUGUUGGAUGCUUUAUGCAAGGGAGGAAAAACAACAGAGGCACUUAAUCUUGUGGAACAAAUGAUCCAUAGAGGUGUAAAACCUGAUCUUGUCACCUACAAUUCAUUACUUCAUGGAUUGUGCCUUUCUGGCCAAUGGAGAGGGGCAACAAGCUUGCUUAAUAGAAUGAAGGAUGAAGAAGUCCCACCAGAUGUUGUAACCUUUAACUCUGUAAUAGAUGCUCUUUGCAAGAAGGGAAGGACCAAGGACGCCCUCACUGUUUUGCAGGUAAUGACUCAAAGAGAUCUAAAUCCUGACCAUAUCACUUACAGCUGUCUAAUUUAUGGCAUGUGCAAUACAUCACAAUGGGGUGAAGCGACAAGGUUGUUUGAUGAAAUGGUAGGGCUGGGCAUCUUGCCCAAUAUAUUAACUUUGACAGACCUGUUUGAUGCUCUCUCCAAAGAAGGGAUGACAGAAGAGGCUCGCAAAGCAUUUGAAGAAAGAUUUCAAUAUGGUAUGGAGGUUAGCAAGAUCUCAUUCAACAUGCUACUUCAUGAUUAUUGUUUGCAUGGAAAAAUUGACAAGGCAGAGAAGGUCUUUAGUUUUAUGGUGUUGAAGGGUCAUAUUCCUGAUAUGGCUUCCUAUACAACCUUGGUCAAUAGCUAUAUAAAAGUUAACAGAAUACAUGAAGCUUUGAGGCUUGUUAAGGAAAUGAUCCAAAAGGGAUUGAUGCCUGAUCUGCAAACGCUGAAAACUUUGAGAAGUUUCAGUCCUAAAAGACAUGCUGCAUCUGCAGAGUGAAUCUAUGAGAUAAUUAAAAAGGAGCACAUCUAUGGAUCUACCCCACAAAUAAGUUGAAAUUUUGGAUUGGAUUUGUGAUAUGUAUUUGCCAGGUCAGUGAACUGGGUUCCCUAUAUUGGAUUUGUGGACCGCGUCUUUGUAUUUAUAUUUUGUAUAAUUUCAGAAGAGGUUAAUUGCCUUGAGGUUUCUGUCCGAAGUUCAGACAGUGGUUCUUUCGGAGGUACAAAUUUAUACGUGAGAUAAUAGGUAAUUUGUCUCUAUGUUUCUGUAUAGGGCAUAGGGUAAGUAUUUGGUUCUUAAGGGGGUUGGAUAGUCUUACAACUUACUGUUUUCCUUGUUGUGUAGUGUGCUACUAUGAGGUGGUUUACCUGAUUCAUGAGAAGCAUGCGAAACAGGUGGGGUGUGUAAAGGAGAAAAUUGAAGGAGUGUAGGAAUGAAAGGAGCAAUCUAAAUUAGCAUGCGAAGGAGCAAUCUAAAUUAGCUGCAGUGAAGGAGAAAUGUAGGACAAACCGGAUAUGAAGUCUUGGCAAAGGCUCACCUUCUUUUAUGUUUCUAGUGAAUUAGUUCUAGAUAUUUAUGAACUGUUAUAGAUUUAGAACUUUUGUCUCAUUUCCACAUUUUAUGAAUAGAAAUAGAGUUUCUAUUGGGACCUCCAAAUCUGCUCACUUGACCUCACUCUAUUAU